GACAGAGGAUGCAAGCGUUAUCCGGAAUGAUUGGGCGUAAGCGUCUGUAGGUGGCUUUUAAGUCCGCCGUCAAAUCCCAGGGCUCAACCCUGGACAGGCGGUGGAAACUACCAAGCUGGAGUACGGUAGGGCAGAGGGAAUUUCCGGUGGAGCGGUGAAAUGCGUAGAGAUCCGGAGGAACACCAAAGGCGAAGGCAGUGUCCUGGGAGUACCUGACGCUCAGGUGCGAAGCCAGGGAGCGAAC
rnacentral:rRNA from 1 species